UAUCUGGUUGAUCCUGCCAGUAGUCAUAUGCUUGUCUCAAAGAUUAAGCCAUGCAUGUCUAAGUACAAACCUUAAUACGGUGAAACCGCGAAUGGCUCAUUAAAUCAGCUAUGGUUCCUUAGAUCGUCUCAUCCUACUCGGAUAACUGUGGAAAAUCUAGAGCUAAUACGUGCUUACAAGCCCUGACCUCACGGGGAGGGCGCAUUUAUUAGAUCAAAACCAAUCGGGGCUUGCCCCGUCUGCUUGGUGACUCUGGAUAACUUUUGUGCUGAUCGCAUGGCCUCUGCGCUGGCGACGUAUCUUUCAAGUGUCUGCCCUAUCAACUUACGAUGGUAGGUGAUAUGCCUACCAUGGUUAUAACGGGUAACGGGGAAUCAGGGUUCGAUUCCGGAGAGGGAGCCUGAGAAACGGCUACCACAUCUAAGGAAGGCAGCAGGCGCGCAAAUUACCCACUCCCGGCACGGGGAGGUAGUGACGAAAAAUAACGAUACGGGACUCUUUUGAGGCCCCGUAAUUGGAAUGAGUACACUUUAAAUCCGUUAACAAGUAUCUAUUGGAGGGCAAGUCUGGUGCCAGCAGCCGCGGUAAUUCCAGCUCCAAUAGCGUAUAU
rnacentral:ncRNA from 1 species